CGNAUACAACCUCCCUUAUACAGGGGAAUAGCCCGAAGAAAUUCGGAUUAAUGCUCCAUCUUUAUCGAUAUGGCAUCGUAUUGAUAAUCAAGAUUUAUCGGUAUAAGAUGGGCAUGCGUAUCAUUAGCUAGUUGGUGUGGUAUCGGCAUACCAAGGCAACGAUGAUUAGGGGUCCUGAGAGGGAGAUCCCCCACACUGGUACUGAGACACGGACCAGACUCCUACGGGAGGCAGCAGUGAGGAAUANUNGUCAAUGGAGGCAACUCUGAACCAGCCAUGCCGCGUGCAGGAUGACGGUCCUAUGGAUUGUAAACUGCUUUUGUACAGGAAGAAACCUCCCUACGAGUAGGGACUUGACGGUACUGUAAGAAUAAGGAUCGGCUAACUCCGUGCCAGCAGCCGCGGUAAUACGGAGGAUCCGAGCGUUAUCCGGAAUUAUUGGGUUUAAAGGGUUCGUAGGCGGUUUGNUAAGUCAGNGGUGAAAUUUCCUAGCUUAACUAGGACACUGCCAUUGAUACUGCAGACUUGAAUACUAUGGAAGUAACUAGAAUAUGUAGUGUAGCGGUGAAAUGCUUAUGAUAUUACAUGGAAUACCAAUUGCGAAGGGCAGGUUAUCUACGUAUUUAUUGACGCUGAUGAACGAAAGCUGGGAGCAGCUGAAGCGCGG
rnacentral:rRNA from 1 species